rnacentral:rRNA from 1 species
GUGGGGAAUAUUGGACAAUGGGCGAAAGCCUGAUCCAGCCAUGCCGCGUGUGUGAAGAAGGCCUUUUGGUUGUAAAGCACUUUAAGCGAGGAGGAGGCUACCGAGAUUAAUACUCUUGGAUAGUGGACGUUACUCGCAGAAUAAGCACCGGCUAACUCUGUGCCAGCAGCCGCGGUAAUACAGAGGGUGCAAGCGUUAAUCGGAUUUACUGGGCGUAAAGCGCGCGUAGGUGGUUUUGUAAGUUGGAGGUGAAAUCCCCGGGCUCAACCUGGGAACUGCCUCCAAAACUGCAUGACUAGAGUACGGUAGAGGGUAGUGGAAUUUCCUGUGUAGCGGUGAAAUGCGUAGAUAUAGGAAGGAACACCAGUGGCGAAGGCGACUACCUGGACUGAUACUGACACUGAGGUGCGAAAGCGUGGGGAGCAAACAGGAUUAGAAACCCUUGUAGUCC